rnacentral:sRNA from 1 species
CUUCCUCGAUCUGCUGCGGCGCGAUGAAAUGGAUGUGCGCGUCCAUGCCUCCGGCGGUGAGGAUCCGGCCCUCGCCGGCGAUGAUCUCGGUCGAGGGGCCGAUGACGAUGCUGACGGCCGGCUGCGUGUCCGGAUUGCCGGCCUUGCCGAUGCCGGCGAUGCGGCCGUCCUUCAACCCCACAUCGGCUUUGUAGAUGCCGGUGUGGUCGACGAUCAGCGCAUUGGUGAUGACGGUGUCCACGGCGCCUUCGGCGCGCGUCGCCUGGCUCUGGCCCAUGCCGUCGCGGAU